UACGUAGGUGGCGAGCGUUGUCCGGAUUUACUGGGCGUAAAGAGCGCGCAGGCGGCCAAGUCAGUCGAAUGUGAAAGCCCCCGGCUUAACUGGGGAGGGUCAUUCGAUACUGCUCGGCUCGAAGACAGGAGAGGGAAGUGGAAUUCCCGGUGUAGUGGUGAAAUGCGCAGAUAUCAGGAGGAACACCAAUUGCGAAGGCAGCUCGCUGGGACGUUACUGACGCUGAGACGCGAAAGCGUGGGGAGCGAACAGG
rnacentral:rRNA from 1 species